GCAGUGGCCCGGCUCUGCCGCUGGCAUCUUAAUGAUGCGAGAGGAAAGUCCGGGCAGCAUAGGACAUCCCACUUCUGAAAAUGGAAGCUGUUGGCGACAACGGGUAAAGGUAGAAGAAAAUAACCGCCCCCUCACGCACCUAUUUGUAGCGUACGUGUUGGGGUAAGGGUGAGAAGGCGGUGUAAGAGACCACCAACCGAUGGGCGAUCAUCGGGUUGUACCUUCUGGGAGCUGCAAGUUCGCGUAUACCAUCGUUUGAAGGUUGUCCGUCUGAAACUCGUUUACGAUGGAGGGUAGAAUGCUUGAGCCUUGGGGCGACCCAUGGCCUAGAUAAAUGGCAGGCACUUUUUUGCCCCACGAGGCAUUAGAGUACAGAACCCGGCUUAUAGGGCCACUGCUUUC
rnacentral:RNase_P_RNA from 2 species